rnacentral:lncRNA from 1 species
AUAAAUACAAAAAUGUGUUCAUUAAAAAGGAUAUUUUUGGUAUUAAAUGGAAUAUAAUUAAAAAAAGGGGUUUUAAUAGGAUUCUGCAGGGGUGCUAAUAGUCCGACUCAUAUUUUUUACGUUGGAUAGAAAAUAUGUAUUUGACUUUUUAAUUAAGAAUUGAUAGGCAUUUUGAGGGGGCAAAACAUGUGUAUGCUUCUCAAUUUUGAGAAAAAAAAAUAGACACAUCAUGUGAUUUUUAUAUGCAUCCAAUAAUAUUUUGACACAUAUAUACUUUCGUUUAGAGUUGAGAAUCAUACAUAAUAGAGAAGAAAAAAAAUCAUUUCAAACACACGAUAUACAUUUAUUGGCACCGUCCUGGAGUCUUUUACAGCUUUUGUACAUAUGGCAUUAUUGUUAAUUAUUUAACUGUCACUCCCAUCUCUCUGAAUUCAAUUUUUUUAGCUUAAAAUUUUGACAUAAAUUAUGUGCUAUUAAUUUCAAGAAAUUUAAUGGUUGAUGAAUAGCUAUCAUUAAAUGCCACUUCAAUUUUUAAUAUCUACUAUUAUAUUGAAAUAAACCCAUCAUGAUUAAAUAUUUUGGUAAUGUACAAAGAAAAAGUAAAUUAAGUAGGGCUUAUUGUAAACGAUUAUAGGUUUUAGUUGACUUAACUGACAAAAUUUUUGUGAUGGUACAAAAACUUUGGGUUUUGAAUCUUGCUGAUAUGGGUGAGGAAAGAAUUUGGUUACCAUCACAUUACUUAUUAAAAAUAAAGAAGAAAAAUAUCGCUAUUUCUAAUUAGUUAUAAUUAAAUUAUUCUUUUAAAAUAGCAUAUUAAAGGGUCGUAUUAUUUCACUUAAAAUUUUGUUACAAUUUUUAUACAGGAAUUUCGUGCAAUCUAAUGCCAAAUAUUCAAAAUAACAUUUAGGGUGAUGUUUGAUUUGAGGAAAUGUGAGAAGGUGAGACGAGAGAAAAGUGAAGGAAAAGAGAGAAAAGGAUAGGAGAGCAGAGUGAAAUACUUUUUUAAUAUUUGGUUUGUUACAAAAUUAUACAAAGAAAGGAAAUCUCAAAUUUUUAAUUUAGACAAUUUUAGCCUUAACAAGUGUUAAACUUUCAAUAUUUAUUAUAAAUAUAAUUCAAAAAAUUAAACAAUAAUAUCAGAGAGAGAGAGAGAGAGUCAGGUCACAAGAGAGAGACACGGAUCAACCCAAACCCGAGAACCCGAGCCGCCAACCGUUUUUUAUUUUGACCACAUCACAAGCAAUGGAAGGCACUGAUCGAAACCUCAAGAGCCGGCCAUCAUUCCCCAGCCAUCACUACAGUCGAGAAACUGCGAAAAAGCCGCCGAUUAAAGCGUGAAAAGCCAAGGAUAAUGCUGCCUCAAAUCGACAUUAUUUUUUUACAGUUUCCAGUCACGCUGUUGCCUUGGUUUUGUCUAUCACGGCUGCCACUUCCAUUUUCGACCAUCCACAGCUACCAGGAACCACCAAAUCACCACCGAUCAACCGGAUUUGUCAAAGACACAAAAGUUCCUAAAUCGAAUUUGAACAAUAUACAUCCAUAUUUUUUUUUAUCUCGAUGACAACGUAUUAAUGUUGAUUGUUAGCUGUCGAGUCCAACGGUAGUGACGGUAAGAUAGCACGCGCCAACAACAGCAGCAUCGACGGUGGAGGUCCGACGGUCUGACGACUAUUAAAAUUAUAUUUCUAUAUUUUUAGAUUAAUUAAGCAAAUAAUUUUAUUUUAUUAA